rnacentral:lncRNA from 1 species
AUGCUUCCAAAUAUAUCAAUUAAUAUCUUUGUUUUUGCAGGUACCAGUAUAUCACCAUAUGGUUCCGUGCACACCCCAUUUCGUGCCCCACAAUAUGCACAAAAUGAUGUGACCAUGCAAGGUGACAACGGGCAGCUUUUGAAAGACCUUGCCAUCCAAAAGAUGACAAAAAUGCUUGCCGAAGUGCUGGUGGUUGUCAAUGAACUGUCAAGGGAUGUGCAGUUCAUCAAGGGUGAAUUGGCAGAGGCUAGAAUGACCCCAUCUUGUGGACCAGGGCCAGCCACAAGCCAAGAGAUGUUCCCCAUCCAGCUGCCUAUCACCAACGAAGAAGACUUCAAUGAGGCCGAAACGUUGUUGGGAACUGAGCCAGUCCGACAAAAGAUGAUUGCCCGCUUGGCCUUGGUGGGAGGCACUAGCUCCACAUGUAUGGUAAGGAGGAUGCUUGCAACGGUUUUGACCAAUGGCCUGGCCUGCAAGUUCAAUUGGGCAGGAAAAACCUGCACACAAAGGGAUGCAAAGCAGCCCUUCAAAGACACAGCCCUGCAAGACUGCAUGUUUGUUGCUUCUCGGCAGUGUGACCGCAAACUCACACAGCAGGCCUUCAGCGACAUUGUGAAACAUUGGCUACGUUACGCCCCUUGGCGUGCAGGAGGCAUCAACAAAAAUGUCCUCUUCAUAUGGGCUAUGGCCCUUGUUGGUCUGUGAUUACACAUGUGAUUACACUAAUUCGCCUUUUCUUGUUGGUAUCUUUUGUGGUGAAGGCAAGCCAAAGAUUCUUUCAGUACCUUCAACAAUUUGAUUAUUUAAUUUGUUUUUUCUAAUAAAUGUUUUUAUCACUAAAAUCUAAAUGAAUCCAAAAUGUGUCUGUUGUUAUUAUACAGUUAGUCCUAUUGUUGGCGGCAUAGUCUUACUGCUAAAUAGAGUGUAUUUCAAUGGAGGUUGAUGUUGAU